UUUUUCCGGAGAAACCAAGAAUAUCAAAGAGAGAUAAGAUCUGAGCCCGAUUUUACUCGGGAACUUUGUCAGUCAGCGCAUCGGAUUAUGGAGCUGUAAGCAGACUUCGUUAUGGGUCGGAGUUGAUUUCGAGAUCGUUGGAGCAAUUGAUCUGUUUUUUUUUUGGUAGUUGACAGUAGCAAUUCUUAUGUGAAGCUAGCAACUUUGAGUCUGGAUCUGCUGAUUAUAUAGAAUGCUUUUUGGAAAAGAAUGGUUUUGAUGUUGAUUCAUUGGUUGGUCCUGUGAAAUUGUAUUCCUUGGUUGAUUGUAAGUUAUACUGUGGAGCUUGGUCUAUGGAGCUUCUAUGGUUGCUACAACAGCGCGCACCACAGGGAGGCUAGAGCUUGUGAGAAGCUUUGAUUACACAGAGGAGAACAUAGAAGACCUGCCUGCUAUUAGUUUCGUUUGAUGUUGUGUUUGACGCCAUUGGUAAGCACAAGGGAAAACAUCAGAGUUCCUCCCUCACCGUCUAACUCAGGGAAUGAACGCUGCGAGGAACACACGCAAGCAGGGAUGAUAUUAUUGUUGUCUCGGGUCUUGCUGGAACCGUCUAGUAAGCGUGGUUGAUAAUGGACGGAGCUUGCAAAUUGAGUGAGGAAGCUGACAUUGUUUUUGGUUGUGUUAGCUGUUGAAGCCAAUAAAGAAACUAGCUGAUGCAAAGGAAAAAAGGAACUUUGUACGUUUAGAUUAUUAUGUGAGUUCUUCAUCGUUGGUUCAGACAUGGCUUGCGAGUGAGGUGCGGGUGAUUUGAAGUUAAUAUCCGUUCUUUCCACUUUCCAGUGGUUUGCCCACAUCAGAACAUGUUGUUGAUAUAGAGGCACUGAAGUAGUCACCUCCACUAGAUCUUGUUAUAAGCGUUUUCUCCACAGAAAACAACUUUUAAAAGAGGAUGGCUGUGUCAAGAACCAUGGAUGCAGUCUGAUGAUGUACGUUCUGGAAGAACUGCCAGUAUGUAUGCUUUUUUUUGUUGGCUUUCUCAAAAGUCAUACUGCUAAACCUGGAACGAUCUUACGGUGUUAAUGCCCUUCGUUGAUAUAUGCAUCUUUGGGGAACCAAGUUUAUCAUGAAAACGGAGGAUGAUGCCUUUGUUCAGUGUAACCGUGUUGAUGAAGUACUACCUUCUUUUCUCAGUGAUCAACAACACUCGCCGGUUAUUAUAUGAACUGAACAAUUCCGACUCGAUACCCUGAUGGCAAAUGAUACAUUAGUUACUGCCCACAAUGGACGCAUGGUCAACAUUCCUACUUGUCUUGCACGGAGAGAAAUUCGAAAAAUAACCGCCCCUUCUUCCUCUUCUCUGUACUCCAAUGGCGAAUCCCAUUCCUAAGGUUGCUGUCCAAGCUGUUGGUGAUUACGAUGAUGAGAUACUGACUUACCUGCGAGUACUGUUUGCUGAGGUGAACUACGUAGCUAUUGCUCUAGCUCGUGAAAGGGCAAGUAAGAAGGGCAAAGGAAGGAAGAAGGACCCACCACUGACUAAGGAGCAGCUAAUAAGGAAGAAGAAAAUGGAUGAAAUCAAAAGGAUUGAUCGGAAGAUUAAAAAUGCUAGAGUCUGACUGUGUUACUUUUAACACAGUUGAAUAAAGGUGACCAUUAGCCAAAAAAAUAUAAGUGAAGACGUUUGACUAAGUCACCACUACAUAUAUCUGGUAUCUAGAAGUUUGAAACUCUUUCUCACAGAUAAAUGCUAUUGGUAUUUUGCAUGUGUUGUCCACUAUAGUGUGACAUGUUUUGUUAGAUAAAAUGGUCUGCACUUGUCAACAUUUUACCAAAAAGGUCUUUCCUUGGCUUUUAAGUUUAGUAAUAUACUAUGAUAGAAAGAGAAUCUUUUAUAGGUC